rnacentral:rRNA from 1 species
UACGAAGGGGGCUAGCGUUGCUCGGAAUCACUGGGCGUAAAGGGUGCGUAGGCGGGUCUUUAAGUCAGGGGUGAAAUCCUGGAGCUCAACUCCAGAACUGCCUUUGAUACUGAGGAUCUUGAGUUCGGGAGAGGUGAGUGGAACUGCGAGUGUAGAGGUGAAAUUCGUAGAUAUUCGGAAGAACACCAGUGGCGAAGGCGGCCAACUGGUCCGGCACUGACGCUGAGGUGCGAAAGCGUGGGGAGCAAACAGG